UGAUGAGUGGCGGACGGGUGAGUAACGCGUAGGAAUCUGCCCAGUAGUGGGGGACAACCCGGGGAAACUCGGGCUAAUACCGCAUACGCCCUACGGGGGAAAGGUGGCCUCUCCUUGGAAGCUGCCACUAUUGGAUGAGCCUGCGUUGGAUUAGCUAGUUGGUAAGGUAAUGGCUUACCAAGGCGACGAUCCAUAGCUGGUCUGAGAGGACGAUCAGCCACACUGGGACUGAGACACGGCCCAGACUCCUACGGGAGGCAGCAGUGGGGAAUAUUGCACAAUGGGGGAAACCCUGAUGCAGCAAUGCCGCGUGUGUGAAGAAGGCCUGCGGGUUGUAAAGCACUUUCAAUUGGGAAGAAAAGCGAAGGGCUAAUACCCCUUUGUCUUGACGUUACCUUUAGAAGAAGCACCGGCUAACUCCGUGCCAGCAGCCGCGGUAAUACGGUAGGGUGCGAGCGUUAAUCGGAAUUACUGGGCGUAAAGCGCGCGUAGGCGGUUUAGUAAGUCAGAUGUGAAAGCCCUGNGCUCAACCUGGGAACUGCAUUUGAUACUGCUGGGACUGGA
rnacentral:rRNA from 1 species